GAGUCAGGCCUCUGAGGUCUCAAUGCCAGUUUAAGGUUUUCAAACAACAACUUCCUUUCUUCCCUGAGAAAAACUGCUUGGGCAAGCUUCCCCAGUGUGCAUUUUUGUCUGACAAGAAAGCAUUUUGUCCUCUGUCAAUGGAAAUGCCAAGAACAAAGCAAGAGGGGCGUUGCCGGGAGGCAGUCAAGCAGCUCCCCUGACCCAGGCGCUGGAGGCCCGGGCCCCCGGGUCUCAGAUGCGCCCAGAAGGACUCUCCCUGGGGCCUGGGCAGGCGGCAGGACAGGAAACGUCAGUGAUCGCAUGGACGCCUCGGCUCUGGAUUAGAGAACCCUCCAGACAGCCUGAAAGCCUUGGCACCUAAAAAUGGAGACCACUGAAAGAGAGGGGACAGAGAGCUGGGAGAGGAGGGUCCCUCAGCCCCUCCUUUCUCUCCAUCACCCCCUCACACGGCAUCCUGUGUCCUCAUACAUCAGAAGGUGAUCGCCUAAAUUGCAUCAUGUGAUCAUGUGUUAGUUACUCUCUCAGGAAUAUUAAUUAUGUCCAGGCCACCAGGGGAGCACAAUGCUUAACCCUUACAAGUGAAUUCCUCUUUCCAGGCUCAGCAGGAAAAGGACUGGGGGGGAGGGGGUACUUCAAACCAGACCGCAAGGUGACACAGCACUCACUUGCAGUUUGUUCUCUGUAUACAGAGUCAUUGUACUUAUCACUGUGACAUAGUCGUUUACAUGUCUUUCACAUCUACUAGAUUGUCAGCAGCUUGGUUAAUGCAGAUACUACUGUGCUGUUCAUCUUUGCAUCCCCAGGGCCUGGCAUGCACCUGGCGUACUCCACCCAUCUGCCCAACGAAGGCUGGCCCUAGGGGGGCCUGCAAAGGGCUAGGGUGGCAUCAUUCCAACUGCUCCUCUGUGCUUGGCAUAUAGUAGCUGCCCAACAAAUAUUUGGUGCAUAAAGGAAAGCAAAAUACUUGCCUGCCUGCGAGGAAGGUCUUAGGACAAUGCUUACAGGAGACUCUGCCUGCACGGCCCUCAACUGAUCAAGGCCAGUGAAAGAGCCCUGUGGCACUGCUAUGGACUUCCCCUCAGGACGAUGAGAGUCAUGGUGGGUCAGAACGUUCCCUGCAGUUCAGGGAAUAAAGAACUACCUUGGGAGGCUCCUCUGCAGCCUCUGGGGUGGAAGGCAUCCCGCUCACAAGCAGUUCUGACAUUUGGCACGUGCUGAUGGAGCACUGACUGUGAGCCAGACCCUGGGGACAGAGCAGACACGGGUAACGUCCCUGCCUUCAUGAAGCUUAUAUCGACUCUCAGGGAGGCAGACAAUGCAAAUAAAUAUGUAACAUGCCUCAUGAUAGUGGGGGCAAUGAAGACAACAAAGCAGGGUGAAGGGGUAGAGCCGGGGUGCUGUUUUGUGUAGAGUUCAAGGAGGACCUCGGAGGUAGGUAACAUUUGAUCUAAGGCCUGAAUUCAGUUGUUCAUUUGUGUAGCAGUCCACACGUCUGGCCGCCCUCUCUGCUUCCUGCUGUUUCUCCAGCAGGCCAAACCCCUCCCACCUCAGGGUUGUUUCCACUGCCUGCGAUUCUCCUUCACCUCUUCAAGUUUUUGCUUAAAUGUCGCCUUCCCAAUGAGGUCCGGCCUGACCGCCCUGCUUAAAACACCCUCCCCAUCCCGUUAUACUCUGCUCUGUGUUCCCUGUAACACUUAUCACCCUCUAAUGUAGCACCCAAUGCACUCAUUUGUUAGGUGUGCUGCCCUUGCCCUUCUCCCCUCCCUAGAAUGGAAGCCUGACUGGUGCGGGAAUUCUCACCGCUUCGGUUCACUAAUCCAUCCCAAGUGCCUGGAGUGACGGCACAGGGCCAGCGCCUGGCAAGUGCUUCAGACAUCCACUGUUCCUUCAACCUGAUGUGCCUGCCCUGCACCAGGUGUUGCCCUGCGGUGGCAAGAAGCCUCCUUGUGACGGUGGAGGGGGGUGUGGAAUGCUGCCCCUACUUCCCUCUGUGCUGUUUUGGGCUAACUCUGGGGGGAGGUGGCAUGAUUGGCUUUGGAGUCCCUGGGCUCCACUUCCCGACCACCUCAGCUUCUGCCCUCUCUCUUCCAAAGAGCACAGGGCGAGGACCUGUCUCAGAUCAGGAAGCUGGAGGGGGACCCAGAGAGCAUAGGCAUGGCCAGAGACAGGGCACGGAGUCCGAGGAGGGCUGGGAGUCCGGGCGAGGGACUUGGCCUGUCAGGGUGGGUCGGAGUUGAGGCGAGAAGCACAGGGCCACGUGGAGAGGCCAAGGGAGGAGAAACCCCUUCUUUAUUGCCUCCCUCAGGGAUUCUGUAAGGAGCCUUGCGACAACAUUCCAGUUCCACUGUGCAAGGCUCCUGGUACUCUCAGUGGGGUGUCUGGGAGAAUUAAGGCCUGAAUGCCUAAUGACAGACACAGGAGCAGAGAACUAGUGGGUAUGUGUGGGGGUGGGGUGAGGAAGAGCCAAUGCCUUCUCUCUUUAGAAUUAUUUGUGGCCAAUUGCAGAUUUCCAUCUUCAGAGCCCGUAUCUUCUGUGAACUCGGCCACCCCUCCCCACACCACCACUGUUGCCACUGUUCCUGAGUCUCUGGCCAAGGGACUGACCCCUCUGUUUUCCCAAGCAGGGAUUUUCAGAUUCCCUUCCCUCAAGCUUAGCACCGAUGCCUGCUGGGCCAUGGUGCCCUCCUUACUGUGACCACUCCAGGCUGACAGUCACUUUCCCUAGGCUCGGUCGCUUGAUGGCCAACAAGUGUUCCCUGAGGCUGGUUAGAGUUAAGUCCAGAGCAGUGAAUUUCUCCCUUGCUUCCUCCACUUCUGAGCUAUGAAAUUACCCAUUAAGCAAAUCAAUAAUUCAUCAGGUUAUCCACAUUUAGUCUAAAUUGGAUCUCAUCGCCUCAGGCUAGACUUUGAAGUCCUGCUUCACCUGACUCUACUACCCAGCCAGCCGCCCCAUGGAGUCCAGCCAGCUUCCUAGGGCUGGGCCCCUUCUCCUCACUACUCGGUCCCCACACCGCUACCCCCAGCCAACCAAGAAUAGCCCAAUCUGAUCCCCUCUCCAGAAGCCCAUCCUUCCCUCUUUGCCGUAAUCCAGCUCUUCAAGGUCUCGUCUUAAUUCCAGCCCUUACCAUGAACUUCCUGGGGCUUCUGCAGCAGACGGAAAUAUUUUAUAAUUAGGAGUACACAACUUUGCACUCCAUUUGUUUCACACUUGCAAACCCAUAGUUGUUAAGCAACAUGGGGAUGGGACACUGUAACAGACCCCUCACAUCCCCUCACCACGCCACAGAACACGCAAUGAAUGCUGUUGUACAGGUGCUGUACCACCUCCUUUCUACCCUCCUCGCCAGCACUAUCUCUCUCUCUUAAUCCAAACUACCUUUAGCACCGCAACCCUCGGUCCCACGUUCCCUUCAGUCCUCAGGGACUAGACAACCCUGGGUACAUGGUCAGACUUUGGAUCGUAGAGAAUCAAGCUGGCUGCAAGCCUACUGAAAAGAUUAGAAAUGGGGCUAGAGUGGAUACAGGCCAGUCAGUAGGGCCAUUGCAGCAGGCUGGAUGAGAGACGGUGGGAGUAAGUUCAAGGAGUCACUGAUAGAGAUGGAGACAAGUGGAUGGAUUCAGGAGAUCAUCUGAAGCACUUUUGCAUCUACUACAUCCUUUGAGAUUCAUCUCCCUCAACAAGCCGUGACAGGUAAUAGUAGUACAUGUAAUUUGGAUCUCAGCCUAGGUGAUGAAACCAAGGUGAGGAGGGAUGGAGUGGAUUGCCUGGAUUCACACAGCUGGUCAGGGUGGGCCUGGGACCCACACCCAGAUCCUUGGGCAUCACAUCCAGGACUCUCUGGUCUCACCCCGGAGACUAACACUGGAGCGCCAUGGGAGGGCCGGGUGUUAAGCUGAAGAACCCUGACAGGGCUACCUGCCUGCAGCUAUUCACUAUUCACCAAUUGAUUUGUAGUAACCUGUAAUUAUUUCUGCUGAAUUUUUUUGCAUGUUCCAUUUGUUUUUUACUCUCCAGCAGACAAGCUACAGGAAGAAGCAGCUUGGGACAUAAGUGGGAGCGGAAGAGCCUGUCUGGUUCUGGGAUAGAAGGUUAGGGGAGUCCAGAUGCCAGCCUUCUGUCUUGCUCCCCUCGGCUCCCUCUGCCCUUUCCUCAGUCUCUCUUCCUCCCCACAGAUGGGGGGCUGGGUACUCCUGAGCCAGAUCGCUCUUCUCAGUGUCUCUCAGGUCUGUCUCUGCCAGAGGGAAAGAAUCUCUCCAGCGUCCCUAACUCCCUUUCUGCCAUGUAACAACUUGCCAUUGGCACGUCUCUCAAGACACAGACUUUUGGAAGGAAAAAGAAGGAAAGAAACUGCAAGGAUGGAUUGUUAAUUUUCUAAAUGAAAUAUGACUGUGAGAUUCUACCUAGCUAGCUGGAGGGACAUUCCACUCUGCUUCCCCUCUGUAAGGUGGUCUGAAUGUUCAGGAUACUUACUCAAUUUGGGAAGCUUGGGGAAAGUCUUCUGCCCAUAGUCCGAACCUGUAGGGUCCCUUCAAGGGAGUGAGGGCUGCCCCUAGGGGCUAGUCUCUCCGUGCCAACUUGGCCAUAGUCCUCCAGACCCUAUAAGAGGUUCAGCUGUGUCCUGGGUCGCUGUGUGGGUGUGGGGGGCAGGUCUCCCCCACGCACAGAGCCUGCCACUCCCUCACUCCUCCUCACUCUCCCUUGGGGUUCAAGCCACUCCCACCAGCUCCAGUCCAAGCAGCAGCCUCCUGUGGAGCCAACUCUUUCCAGCCACAGCUUUGGGACUUCUCUGGUGGCACAGUGGUUAAGAAUCUGCCUGCCAAUGCAGGG